rnacentral:rRNA from 1 species
UACGUAGGGAGCAAGCGUUGUUCGGAAUUAUUGGGCGUAAAGAGCGCGUAGGCGGCCUGGUAAGUCUGACGUGAAAUCCCGGAGCUCAACUCCGGAACUGCGUUGGAUACUGCCGGGCUCGAGUGUGGGAGAGGAGAGUGGAAUUCCCAGUGUAGAGGUGAAAUUCGUAGAUAUUGGGAGGAACACCGGUGGCGAAGGCGGCUCUCUGGACCACAACUGACGCUGAGGCGCGAAAGCCAGGGUAGCAAACGGG